UCUUCUGUCUAUACUGGGAAGUGGCACAUCCCUGCUGACGAUCAAGGCUGAAGGGUUGCUGCCCCUCGCAUUUACCUAGGACUCUUUAGGCAUUGGCUCUGUAGUUUGUGGACAUUAUAGUUCUGCCAAAGACAGGAAGCAAAAAGAGGGUGGUCUGUCUCAAACCGGUCCCAGUUUGUUGCUUGUUGGCAGUGUCUGUGUAAGGAGGGUUAAAAAAGUUAGAAGUAAAAUUAUUCUGAAAGGGAUCAUUUGCGACUCAUUAAUCCAUGUGAUUUCUGAUGCUCAUUAUCACUGAAAAUUGAGUUGGCAAAAUCUGUUUGUUUAACUUCUGUGAUUAAGGAUCAGUGUUGGGAUUUGAUGUUCUUGGGGCUGAGAGGGACAAAAGGAUGGCACUCACCCAUCCUCCCACUCCCACCCACACCCGCAGCCAGCACCCAGUGCUCUUUAUCCCUGGCCAACAAGCAGUUCUCCAUCUCCCGUGGAACACUGGCAGGGAAGCCCAUGGAGCAGCAAGAAGGAAGGGACGGCAGCUGGCAAGCCUGACCCGCUGAGUUGCACUGCUCUCAGUGGGUGACAGGCAGGGUGUGCUCGGUGUCUUAACCCUGAGGUGCCCCAAGUGGCAGCGGAGACGCCUCUGCAGGCCUGACUAAAGAGAACCGCCUGGCCUCUUCUUAGCUUUUUUAAAGAACUAAGUUCCAUAAUUAAGCCUUUAUUAUCUGACAUUUCUCAAAGCCAAAUAUUAAAGCAUCUUACAAUUGUGUAAAAAUAUUUUAAAUGUAACAACAAGCCCCCGGUGUUACUUAUCUUUGUUCUAGUACUUCUUGGUGUCCAACAGGUGGCUACUCUUUCUAGGUGCCAGCACACAGCCAGACUCCCAGCCCACUCUGAACCUUGCGAAUGCUGUUUUUUCUGUCAAGAAUCCUGUGAGGUCUUCCCUGAGCGCCUUCCAUGUGGGCUGCCUCUACGAUUGCAUUUACCUGGGUUUUAAAUGCAGCUUUGCCUUUCCAAAACUGGAAGUUCCUUGAGGUCAAAGAUCGCGUCCUACUCGUCUGUACAUCUUUGGUGCUAAGCACAGUGCCUCACACAUGAUAGAACAUCAUAAGCAACGGAUCGCAACCCUCAGUGUCGCGCCCGUACCGGA